GAUGAACGCUGGCGGCGUGCCUAAUACAUGCAAGUCGAACGAAACUUCUUUAUCACCGAGUGCUUGCACUCACCGAUAAAGAGUUGAGUGGCGAACGGGUGAGUAACACGUAGGCAACCUGCCCCAAAGAGGGGGAUAACCCUUUGAAACAGGUUCUAAUACCGCAUAACCAUAGUUACCGCAUGGUAACUAUGUAAAAGGUGGCUAUACUACCGCUUUUGCAUGGGCCCGCGGCGCAUUAGCUAGUUGGUAGGGUAAAGGCUUACCAAGGCAAUGAUGCGUAGCCGAAUUGAGAGGUUGAUCGGCCACAUUGGGACUGAGACACGGCCCAAACUCCUACGGGAGGCAGCAGUAGGGAAUCUUCCGCAAUGGGCGAAAGCCUGAUGGAGCAACGCCGCGUGGGUGAAGAAGGUCUUCGGAUCGUAAAACCCUGUUGUUAGAGAAGAAAGUGCGUGAGAGUAACUGUUCACGUUUCGACGGUAUCUAACCAGAAAGCCACGGCUAACUACGUG
rnacentral:rRNA from 1 species